rnacentral:rRNA from 1 species
GAGUUUGAUCCUGGCUCAGGAUGAACGCUGGCGGCAUGCCUAAUACAUGCAAGUCGAACGAAGUUUCGAGGAAGCUUGCUUCCAAAGAGACUUAGUGGCGAACGGGUGAGUAACACGUAGGUAACCUGCCCAUGUGUCCGGGAUAACUGCUGGAAACGGUAGCUAAAACCGGAUAGGUAUACGGAGCGCAUGCUCUGUAUAUUAAAGCGCCCAUCAAGGCGUGAACAUGGAUGGACCUGCGGCGCAUUAGCUAGUUGGUGAGGUAACGGCCCACCAAGGCGAUGAUGCGUAGCCGGCCUGAGAGGGUAAACGGCCACAUUGGGACUGAGACACGGCCCAAACUCCUACGGGAGGCAGCAGUAGGGAAUUUUCGUCAAUGGGGGAAACCCUGAACGAGCAAUGCCGCGUGAGUGAAGAAGGUCUUCGGAUCGUAAAGCUCUGUUGUAAGUGAAGAACGGCUCAUAGAGGAAAUGCUAUGGGAGUGACGGUAGCUUACCAGAAAGCCACGGCUAACUACGUGCCAGCAGCCGCGGU